rnacentral:misc_RNA from 1 species
UUUGUGGUUGACUCCGAAUUUUAUACAGAUUCAUGAAGAAAGUAUACCGAGGCAAAUUUAGUUGUCUGAAGUUGCUACCGGGGUUCCCGACUUUCAGGUAGUUCUGUUUCCAGUUGCCGUCUGGUGGAGGUUUGUGCUCUCUCCAUUGUGAUUCAUCCAGUACGGUUACUCUUUGCAUUUUUAACCUUUCUACUAUAGUCGUCAGUUCAAACUGCAAGAAUGUAACACUAUUUCCUUGUAUUUUAGUCAACAAUGUGAAAUUCAUCAGUCUUUUCAAAA